rnacentral:rRNA from 1 species
UUCUGGUUGAUCCCGCCAGACCUGACUGCUAUCGGAUUGAUACUAAGCCAUGCGAGUCUUUGUAGUAAUACAAGGCAUACGGCUCAGUAACGCGUAGUCAACCUACCCUAUGGACAAGAAUAAUCUCGGGAAACUGAGCAUAAUUCUUGAUAGAUCAUAAUGCCUGGAAUGGUUUAUGGUUAAAAUGAUUCGUCGCCAUAGGAUGGGACUGCGGCCUAUCAGCUUGUUGGUGAGGUAAUGGCCCACCAAGGCGAUUACAGGUACGGGCUCUGAGAGGAGAAGCCCGGAGAUGGGUACUGAGACAAGGACCCAGGCCCUAUGGGGCGCAGCAGGCGAGAAAACUUUGCAAUGUGCGAAAGCACGACAAGGUUAGUCCGAGUGAUUUCUGCUAAAGAGAUCUUUUGCUAGUUAUAAAACCACUAGUGAAUAAGGGGUGGGCAAGUUCUGGUGUCAGCCGCCGCGGUAAAACCAGCACCUCAAGUGGUCAGGAUGAUUAUUGGGCCUAAAGCAUCCGUAGCCGGCUCUGUAAGUUUUCGGUUAAAUCUAUGCGCUCAACGUAUGGGCUGCCGAAAAUACUGCAGAGAUAGGGAGUGGGAGAGGUAGACGGUACUCGGUAGGAAGGGGUAAAAUCCUUUGAUCUAUCGAUGACCACCUGUGGCGAAGGCGGUCUACCAGAACACGUUCGACGGUGAGGGAUGAAAGCUGGGGGAGCAAACCGGAUUAGAUACCCGGGUAGUCCCAGCCGUAAACGAUGCAGACUCGAUGAUGCAUUGGCAUAUAGCUAGUGCAGUGUCGCAGGGAAGCCGUUAAGUCUGCCGCCUGGGAAGUACGUACGCAAGUAUGAAACUUAAAGGAAUUGGCGGGGGAGCACCACAAGGGGUGAAGCCUGCGGUUCAAUUGGAGUCAACGCCGGG